CAGCCGCCGCGGUAAUACAGAGGGUGCGAGCGUUAAUCGGAUUUACUGGGCGUAAAGCGUGCGUAGGCGGCUAAUUGAGUCGGAUGUGAAAUCCCCGAGCUUAACUUGGGAAUUGCAUUCGAUACUGGUUAGCUAGAGUGUGGGAGAGGAUGGUAGAAAUCCAGGUGUAGCGGUGAAAUGCGUAGAGAUCUGGAGGAAUACCGAUGGCGAAGGCAGCCAUCUGGCCUAACACUGACGCUGAGGUACGAAAGCAUGGGGAGCAAACAGGAUUAGAUACCCCUGUAGUCCCUGUCUCUUAUAU
rnacentral:rRNA from 1 species